GGGCCCCCAUAGCGCAGUGGCGGGCUGAAGGGCUCCUUGAGCAUGGCCAGAGUGGACGCCAAGGCUGAGGAGGCGCCGAGAGCCAGUGAGGGCUGCUAGCAUGUUGUCACCUCUCAAUACAUAAAACUACUGGAGGGUGGUUCCAAGAUGGCCAAAUAGGAACAGCUCCAGUCUACAGCUCCCAGCAUGAGUGAUGCAGAAGACGAAUGAUUUCUGCAUUUCCAACUCAGUAGAGAGCUGACUUUAGAGGGAUCAAGAAUAGCUUGCUGGAUGGAAGGAGGUCAUCUUUAGGAGCUGGCAUGAAUUGCUGUGUUUCAGAACAGUCCACGCAGAGGAAUGAGGAGAAGAGGAUUCAUCCAUUAGCUUCCAUCUCCCAUUGGUGAAAGCUUGCCCUGCAACUCCUCCACACUUCUGGGUUGUAUGACCUGUCCUGCUACAGCCACUAUGGAAAUCUGAACCCAUGUUAGUAGCCACCUCCUCAGCAUGACCUGCAGCUUAUGGGGCAUGCAGUAAGUAGGAGCAAGCCAAGCGCCCUGCGGGCUAGACCUCUGGCACACUGCAGAACCAGCAUGAACCAGGGCAGGUAGUGAACACCGAGAGGGUCCCAUGGUACUGCCCACCAUAGAGACUAAAACAGAGCCUUUGGCAAGAGGCAGGAGGCUCUAGGCAUGAGGUGUUUUCGGUCAUAGCCACACAUUACCUCAGAUUCCAGGAGCAGCUGCUGCAGCAGACCCAGCUAGCCCAGCCUGCAGAUUGUCACCAUGAAGACAGAGAUGAUCCUUCCUCCAGUGAAGAGCAAAACUUCUUUGUGGCCUAUAUGACUGCUUGGUGCUGGGCAAGCUUCCUGAAGAGUCAUCAGCAGCUGGAGACCAUGGCUGAGUAAAUCCAGGGUGGGGGCAGGGCAUAAGCUGGGUCCAGUGCAUUAUCCAUCCUUUCUAGAUCUUGGCUUCUUUUUGAAUAAUGAGCAGUAGCAAUUGCUAUUUCCUCUUCUUCGCCAUUCCAAGCUUCCCUCUACAACAUCCUCUCUUUCCAGCUGUGUAGCAGGCGCAGCUCUAAGCCCAUGUGCUUGGGGUCUCUUACCCUUGGAAUUGCCUCCUUUGCCGGGCUUUCUAAGUUGUCUUACUGCUAGUUUUCAAGGAUCUUAAAAAUCCAUCCUCUUGUAUGAAGGCUUCUCUGGCUGAAUGGGCAUUAUUCUGGCGUAUUCCUCACCUUCCAAAUAAAAUCUAUGAGCAUG
rnacentral:lncRNA from 1 species